AAUAGAUACCCCGGUAGUCCACGCCGUAAACGAUGAGUGCUAGGUGUUAGGGGGUUUCCGCCCCUUAGUGCUGCAGCUAACGCAUUAAGCACUCCGCCUGGGGAGUACGGUCGCAAGACUGAAACUCAAAGGAAUUGACGGGGGCCCGCACAAGCGGUGGAGCAUGUGGUUUAAUUCGAAGCAACGCGAAGAACCUUACCAGGUCUUGACAUCCCGCUGACCGCCAUGGAGACAUGGCCUUCCCUUCGGGGACAGCGGUGACAGGUGGUGCAUGGUUGUCGUCAGCUCGUGUCGUGAGAUGUUGGGUUAAGUCCCGCAACGAGCGCAACCCUUGUCCUUAGUUGCCAUCAUUCAGUUGGGCACUCUAAGGAGACUGCCGUACAAAUACGGAGGAAGGUGGGGAUGACGUCAAAUCAUCAUGCCCCUUAUGACCUGGGCUACACACGUGCUACAAUGGGUGGUACAAAGGGCGGCAAACCCGCGAGGGGGAGCGAAUCCCAAAAAGCCACUCUCAGUUCGGAUUGCAGG
rnacentral:rRNA from 1 species